CAGCCAGGAUGUUGGCUUAGAAGCAGCCAUCAUUUAAAGAAAGCGUAAUAGCUCACUGGUCGAGUCGGCCUGCGCGGAAGAUGUAACGGGGCUAAACCAUGCACCGAAGCUGCGGCAGCGAACGUAUCACUUAAAGCGAUUCAGCGGGUUACGAUUGACGGAGCGAAGCGACGUCAAAGCGUAUACAAAGUCGAGUCGGUUUAAGGAUACGUUCGUUGGGUAGGGGAGCGUUCUGUAAGCCUGUGAAGGUGUGUCGUGAGGCAUGCUGGAGGUAUCAGAAGUGCGAAUGCUGACAUAAGUAACGAUAAAGCGGGUGAAAAGCCCGCUCGCCGGAAGACCAAGGGUUCCUGUCCAACGUUAAUCGGGGCAGGGUGAGUCGACCCC
rnacentral:rRNA from 1 species